rnacentral:tRNA from 1 species
GGCCGCGUGGUGUAGCUGGUUAUCACGUGAGUCUAACACACUCAAGGUCCCCGGUUCGAGCCCGGGCGAGGUCA